GAUGAACGCUGGCGGCGUGCUUAACACAUGCAAGUCGAACGGAAAGGCCCAAGCUUGCUUGGGUACUCGAGUGGCGAACGGGUGAGUAACACGUGGGUGAUCUGCCCUUCACUUCGGGAUAAGCCUGGGAAACUGGGUCUAAUACCGGAUAGGACGAUGGUUUGGAUGCCAUUGUGGAAAGUUUUUUCGUUGUGGGUUGAGCUCGCGGCCUAUCAGCUUGUUGGUGGGGUAAUGGCCUACCAAGGCGUCGACGGGUAGCCGGCCUGUGAGGGUGUAGGGCGACAUUGGGACGUAGAUACGGCCCAGACUCCUACGGGAGGCGGCAGUGGGGAAUAUUGCACAAUGGGCGCAAGCCUGAUGCAGCGACGCCGCGUGGGGGAUGACGGCCUUCGGGUUGUAAGCUCCUUUCGCUAGGGACGAAGCGUUUUUGUGACGGUACCUGGAGAAGAAGCACCGGCUAACUACGUG
rnacentral:rRNA from 1 species